UACGUAGGGUGCAAGCGUUAAUCGGAAUUACUGGGCGUAAAGCGUGCGCAGGCGGUUAUGUAAGACAGAUGUGAAAUGCCCGGGCUUAACCUGGGAACUGCAUUUGUGACUGCAUGGCUAGAGUUUGGCAGAGGGGGUAGAAUUCCACGUGUAGCAGUGAAAUGCGUAGAUAUGUGGAGGAACACCGAUGGCGAAGGCAGCCCCCUGGGUCAAGACUGACACAUCAUGCACGGA
rnacentral:rRNA from 1 species